AUUGAACGCUGGCGGCAUGCCUUACACAUGCAAGUCGAACGGAUUUUGGGGCUUGCUCCAAAGUUAGUGGCGAACGGGUGAGUAAAGCAUCGGAACGUACCCAGUCGUGGGGGAUAACGUAGCGAAAGUUACGCUAAUACCGCAUGCGAUCUGAGGAUGAAAGCGGGGGACCUUCGGGCCUCGCGCGAUUGGAGCGGCCGAUGUCGGAUUAGCUAGUUGGUGAGGUAAAGGCUCACCAAGGCGACGAUCCGUAGCUGGUCUGAGAGGACGACCAGCCACACUGGGACUGAGACACGGCCCAGACUCCUACGGGAGGCAGCAGUGGGGAAUUUUGGACAAUGGGCGAAAGCCAGAUCCAGCCAUGCCGCGUGAGUGAAGAAGGCCUUCGGGUUGUAAAGCUCUUUCAGACGGAAAGAAAUCUCUCGGGUGAAUAUCCCGGGAGGAUGACGGUACCGUAAGAAGAAGCACCGGCUAACUACGUGCCAGCAGCCGCGGUAA
rnacentral:rRNA from 1 species